CCAAUUUACAGUGCACAGUUUGUAUUCUGUAUUUUUAUUUUCUUUGGUCGUCUCUCCAGUCAUCUCUCCCUCAAUCCGUGGCAACCUCUCUACAUCACUCAGGAUUACUUUUGAGAAGCAUUGUUGGAAACGAUCAUUGUCAACUAUCUGAUUGCAAUGGACAAAGAUUGGCUAACAUUUUCGAGACCAUCAACAGAAUACAGAGAGGGUGCACAAAAGUUUGUACAAGUAGCUAAAGAAUAUGGAGGAAAUCGAGAUAAGAUCAUUUGCCCGUGUAUAAUAUGUCAAAACCAAUGUUUUCAACUACCUACGAUUGUGUAUGAACACUUGAUUAUGAAUGGAAUAGAUCCUUCAUAUACUACUUGGGUGUUCCAUGGUGAACAAGAACCUAUUCUUCAACAACAUGACUAUGCCAACGUGACAGAAACAUAUCAGAUGUAUAGGGAUGUCUUGGCUGAAGAUGAUGGAACCGGAAAAGCAAAUUUGCUAAUUGGAGAUGAGAAUUUCAAACAAAAGGUUGAAGAAGCUGAAGCUCCUUUAUAUGAAGGUUGUACGAAGUACACAAAGUUGUCAGCAACUGUAGUUUUAUUCAUUUUUCUUUUAAUCUUGUAAAUGAUUUUUAAAUGUAUAGGAUGACAUUAAGUUGGCUAAUGAAAUGCCAACAACAGACAAUGGUUCUAUAAAAGAGGAUGCCUUAUCACAAGCACUUGGACCUGAACAUCGAGGUCGACUUCGAGGAGGUGGUUACGGGGUUACACCUUCUAGAUACAAUGCCCAAACAUAUGCCAGCAUGAGUAAUCGAGAGCUUAGAGACCGACUACAAAAUGUCGAAGGAAAAUUGCGGGAAGUGUUUGAUCUUGUGUUGGCUAAACAACAAAAUGAGGGAAAUGGUAAAGAAACUAAUACCAAUGAUGCAAUUCAAGUCUCCACAAAUAGGCCUCAGGUAAAAAUG